AGAGUUUGAUCCUGGCUCAGGAUGAACGCUGGCGGCGUGCCUAACACAUGCAAGUCGAGCGAUCUUCUUCGGAAGAGAGCGGCGGACGGGUGAGUAACGCGUGGGUAACCUGCCUCAUACACAUGGAUAACAUACCGAAAGGUAUGCUAAUACAAGAUGAUAUAAGAGAUUCGCAUGGAUUUCUUAUCAAAGCUCCGGCGGUAUGAGAUGGACCCGCGUCUGAUUAGCUAGUUGGUAAGGUAAUGGCUUACCAAGGCGACGAUCAGUAGCCGACCUGAGAGGGUGAUCGGCCACAUUGGAGCUGAGACACGGUCCAAACUCCUACGGGAGGCAGCAGUGGGGAAUAUUGCACAAUGGGCGAAAGCCUGAUGCAGCAACGCCGCGUGAGCGAUGAAGGCCUUCGGGUCGUAAAGCUCUGUCCUCAAGGAAGAUAAUGACGGUACCACUUGAAUAAGCCACGGCUAACUACGUGCCAGCAGCCGCGGUAAUACGUAGGUGGCAAGCGUUGUCCGGAUUUACUGGGUGUAAAGGGCGUGCAGCCGGGCAUGCAAGUCAGAUGUGAAAUCUCAGGGCUUAACCCUGAAACUGCAUUUGAAACUGUAUGUCUUGAGUGCCGGAGAGGUAAUCGGAAUUCCUUGUGUAGCGGUGAAAUGCGUAGAUAUAAGGAAGAACACCAGUGGCGAAGGCGGAUUACUGGACGGUAACUGACGGUGAGGCGCGAAAGCGUGGGGAGCGAACAGGAUUAGAUACCCUGGUAGUCCACGCUGUAAACGAUGGAUACUAGGUGUGCGGGGACUGACCCCCUGCGUGCCGCAGUUAACACAAUAAGUAUCCCACCUGGGGAGUACGAUCGCAAGGUUGAAACUCAAAGGAAUUGACGGGGGCCCGCACGAGCGGUGGAUUAUGUGGUUUAAUUCGAAGCAACGCGAAGAACCUUACCAGGUCUUGACAUCCUGCUAACGAAGUAGAGAUACAUUAGGUGCCCUUCGGGGAAAGCAGAGACAGGUGGUGCAUGGUUGUCGUCAGCUCGUGUCGUGAGAUGUUGGGUUAAGUCCCGCAACGAGCGCAACCCCUAUUGUUAGUUGCUACGCAAGAGCACUCUAGCGAGACUGCCGUUGACAAAACGGAGGAAGGUGGGGACGACGUCAAAUCAUCAUGCCCCUUAUGACCUGGGCUACACACGUAAUACAAUGGCGGUCAACAAAGGGAUGCAAAGCCGCGAGGCAGAGCGAACCCCAAAAAGCCGUCCCAGUUCGGAUCGCAGGCUGCAACCCGCCUGCGUGAAGUCGGAAUCGCUAGUAAUCGUGGGUCAGCAUACCACGGUGAAUACGUUCCCGGGCCUUGUACACACCGCCCGUCACACCAUGAGAGUCGGGAACACCCGAAGUCCGUAGCCUAACCGCAAGGAGGGCGCGGCCGAAGGUGGGUUCGAUAAUUGGGGUGAAGUCGUAACAAGGUA
rnacentral:rRNA from 1 species